rnacentral:rRNA from 1 species
GUGACAGCAGCCGCGGUAAUACGUAGGUGGCAAGCGUUAUCCGGAAUUACUGGGCGUAAAGCGCACGCAGGUGGCUUCUUAAGUCUGACGUGAAAGCUCCUGGCUUAACCGGGAGAGGUCGUUGGCGACUGGGAGGCUUGAGGCGAGGAGAGGGGUGUAGAAUUCCCGGUGUAGUGGUGGAAUGCGUAGAGAUCGGGAGGAAUACCGGUGGCGCAAGCGGCACCCUGGCCUUGGCCUGACGCUCAGGUGCGAAAGCGUGGGGAGCGAACGGGAUUAGAAACCCGAGUAGUCC